GCCCCGGUAAACGGCGGCCGUAACUAUAACGGUCCUAAGGUAGCGAAAUUCCUUGUCGGGUAAGUUCCGACCUGCACGAAUGGCGUAAUGAUGGCCAGGCUGUCUCCACCCGAGACUCAGUGAAAUUGAACUCGCUGUGAAGAUGCAGUGUACCCGCGGCAAGACGGAAAGACCCCGUGAACCUUUACUAUAGCUUGACACUGAACAUUGAGCCUUGAUGUGUAGGAUAGGUGGGAGGCUUUGAAGUGUGGACGCCAGUCUGCAUGGAGCCGACCUUGAAAUACCACCCUUUAAUGUUUGAUGUUCUAACGUUGGCCCCUUAUCGGGGUUGCGGACAGUGUCUGGUGGGUAGUUUGACUGGGGCGGUCUCCUCCUAAAGAGUAACGGAGGAGCACGAAGGUUGGCUAAUCCUGGUCGGACAUCAGGAGGUUAGUGCAAUGGCAUAAGCCAGCUUGACUGCGAGCGUGACGGCGCGAGCAGGUGCGAAAGCAGGUCAUAGUGAUCCGGUGGUUCUGAAUGGAAGGGCCAUCGCUCAACGGAUAAAAGGUACUCCGGGGAUAACAGGCUGAUACCGCCCAAGAGUUCAUAUCGACGGCGGUGUUUGGCACCUCGAUGUCGGCUCAUCACAUCCUGGGGCUGAAGUAGGUCCCAAGGGUAUGGCUGUUCGCCAUUUAAAGUGGUACGCGAGCUGGGUUUAGAACGUCGUGAGACAGUUCGGUCCCUAUCUGCCGUGGGCGCUGGAGAACUGAGGGGGGCUGCUCCUAGUACGAGAGGACCGGAGUGGACGCAUCACUGGUGUUCGGGUUGUCAUGCCAAUGGCACUGCCCGGUAGCUAAAUGCGGAAGAGAUAAGUGCUGAAAGCAUCUAAGCACGAAACUUGCCCCGAGAUGAGUUCUCCCUGACCCUUUAAGG
rnacentral:rRNA from 1 species